rnacentral:rRNA from 1 species
GACGAACGCUGGCGGCGCGCUUAACACAUGCAAGUCGAACGGAAAGGCCUGCUUUCCCUUGUGGAUUGCGGGUACUCGAGUGGCGAACGGGUGAGUAACACGUGAGUGAUCUGCCCCCAACUUGGGUAUAAGCCUGGGAAACUGGGUCUAAUUCUCGAUAGGGCUGCAGGGUGGUGCCUGUGGUGGAAAACGAUUUUCUAGUGGUUGGGGAUGAGCUCGCGGCCUAUCAGCUUGUUGGUGGGGUAAUGGCCUACCAAGGCGGCGACGGGUACCCGGCCUGGGAGGGUGGGCGGCGACAUUGGCACGGAGAGACGGCCCCGACUGCUACGCUAGGCAGCCGGGGGGAGUACUGCACAAUGGGCGGGAGCCUGGUGCAGCGACGCAGCGUGCGGGAUGACGGGAUGGUGGUUGUGAGCGCCGUGGGACCGCGAGAACGCCACCUGGUUGGAAGGGUUGUGACGGUAGUGGUAGAAGAAGCACCGGCUAACUACGUG